CCUAGGGAUGCACCAGUGAGGAAUAUUGCACAAUGGGGGAAACCCUGAUGCAGCAACGCCGCGUGGAGGAUGACGCAUUUCGGUGUGUAAACUCCUUUUAUAUGUCAAGAAAAUGACGGUAGCAUAUGAAUAAGCACCGGCUAACUCCGUGCCAGCAGCCGCGGUAAUACGGAGGGUGCAAGCGUUACUCGGAAUCACUGGGCGUAAAGGACGCGUAGGCUGGUUGGUAAGUCAGGUGUGAAAUCCUACAGCUUAACUGUAGAACUGCACUUGAAACUACCAACCUAGAGUAUGGGAGGGGGAGAUGGAAUUAGUGGUGUAGGGGUAAAAUCCGUAGAUAUCACUAGGAAUACCGAAAGCGAAGGCGAUCUCCUGGAACAUAACUGACGCUAAGGCGUGAAAGCGUGGGGAGCAAACAGGAUUAGAUACCCGAGUAGUC
rnacentral:rRNA from 1 species